rnacentral:rRNA from 1 species
AUGCAAUCAAUCCAAGAAGGAGACACAGGUGCCAUUCUUCAAUACCUACAGGAGAAGCAAAUGGAAAAUCCUUCCUUUUUUUAUGCAAUACAAGUAGAUGAAGAGGAUAUGAUGACCAAUAUAUUCUGGGCAGAUGCAAGAUCAAUAUUAGAUUAUCACUACUUUGGUGAUGUGGUAUGCUUUGACACAACCUUUAAGACAAAUAGUUAUGGAAGACCAUUUGCCCCUUUUGUUGGUGUCAACCAUCAUAAACAAACAGUGAUUUUUGGAGCUGCAUUAUUGUACGAUGAAAUAGCUGAUACGUUUGAAUGGUUAUUUGAAACAUUCAAAAGGGCUAUGUCAGGGAAAGAACCAAAAACAAUAUUGACCGACCAAUGUCCUGCCAUUAUUAGUGCCAUUGACAAGGUUUUUACCAAUUCAAUACAUCGUCUAUGUGUGUGGCACAUGUAUCAGAAUGCUGCAAAA